rnacentral:rRNA from 1 species
AUUGAACGCUGGCGGCAUGCUUUACACAUGCAAGUCGAACGGUAACAGGUCUUCGGAUGCUGACGAGUGGCGAACGGGUGAGUAAUGUAUCGGAACGUGCCCAGUAGUGGGGGAUAACUACUCGAAAGAGUGGCUAAUACCGCAUGAGAACUGAGGUUGAAAGCGGGGGACCUUCGGGGCCUUCGCGCUACUAGGAGCGGCCGAUAUCAGAUUAGGUAGUUGGUGGGGUAAAGGCCUACCAAGCCGACGAUCUGUAGCUGGUCUGAGAGGACGACCAGCCACGACUGGGACUGAGACACGGCCCAGACUCCUACGGGAGGCAGCAGUGGGGAAUUUUGGACAAUGGACGCAAGUCUGAUCCAGCAAUGCCGCGUGCAGGACGAAGGCCUUCGGGUUGUAAACUGCUUUUGUACUAGAACGAAAAGGCUCUGGUUAAUACCUGGGGCUCAUGACGGUACUGUAAGAAUAAGCACCGGCUAACUACGUGCCAGCAGCCGCGGUAAAC